UGUGGUUUAAUUCGAUGCAACGCGAAGAACCUUACCAGGGCUUGACAUCCCCUGCUACCUAUCGAAAGAUGGGGUUCUCUUCGGAGACAGGGAGACAGGUGGUGCAUGGUUGUCGUCAGCUCGUGUCGUGAGAUGUUAGGUUAAGUCCUGCAACGAGCGCAACCCCUAUCUUUAGUUGCUAACACUUCGGGUGAGCACUCUAAAGAGACUGCCGGUGAUAAACCGGAGGAAGGUGGGGACGACGUCAAAUCAUCAUGCCCUUUAUGUCCUGGGCUACACACGUGCUACAAUGGCUCAUACAGAGGGAAGCGACCUGGCGACAGGAAGCGGAUCCCUUAAAGUGGGUCACAGUUCGGAUUGCAGGCUGCAACUCGCCUGCAUGAAGUCGGAAUCGCUAGUAAUCGCAGGUCAGCAUACUGCGGUGAAUACGUUCCCGGGCCUUGUACACACCGCCCGUCACACCACGAAAGUCUGUCAUGCCCGAAGCCGGUGGCCUAACCGUAAGGAGGGAGCCGUCUAAGGCGGGACAGGUGAUUGGGGUGAAGUCGUAACAAGGUAGCCGUAUCGGAAGGUGCGGCUGGAUCACCUCCUU
rnacentral:rRNA from 1 species